CCCGCUGAACUUAAGCAUAUCAAUAAGCGGAGGAAAAGAAACUAACAAGGAUUCCCUUAGUAACUGCGAGCGAAGUGGGAAAAGCUCAAAUUUAGAAUCUGGCAGUCACUUGGCUGUCCGAGUUGUAAUCUAGAGAAGUGUUGCCCGUGCUGGACCAUGUACAAGUCUCCUGGAAUGGAGCAUCACAGAGGGUGAGAAUCCUGUCUUUGACAUGGACUGCCAGUGCUUUUGUGGUACGCUCUCAAAGAGUCGAGUUGUUUGGGAAUGCAGCUCAAAAUGGGUGGUAAAUGCCAUCUAAAGCUAAAUAUUGGCGAGAGACCGAUAGCGAACAAGUACCGUGAGGGAAAGAUGAAAAGAACUUUGGAAAGAGAGUUAAACAGUACGUGAAAUUGCUGAAAGGGAAACGCUUGAAGUCAGUCGCGUUGUCCGGGGAUCAACCUUGCUUUUGCUGGGCGUACUUCCCGGUUGACGGGUCAGCAUCAAUUUUGACCGUUGGAUAAAGUCUAGGGGAAUGUGGCAUCUUCGGAUGUGUUAUAGCCCUUGGUCGCAUACAACGGUUGGGAUUGAGGAACUCAGCACGCCGCAAGGCCGGGUAUUCGUACCACGUUCGUGCUUAGGAUGCUGGCAUAAUGGCUUUAAUCGACCCGUCUUGAAACACGG
rnacentral:rRNA from 1 species